GGCACUAUGGCGGAGUGGUUAUCGCGCAGCCCUGCUAAGGCUGUUCCCUCGGGAGGAGUUCGAAUCUCCUUGGUGUCG
rnacentral:tRNA from 1 species